rnacentral:rRNA from 1 species
UACGUAGGGUGCGAGCGUUAAUCGGAAUUACUGGGCGUAAAGAGCGCGCAGGCGGCUGGUCAAGUCCGAUGUGAAAUCUCCCGGCUCAACUGGGAAACUGCAUCGGAAACUGAUCGGCUUGAAGAUGGGAGAGGGUAGUGGAAUUCCCGGUGUAGUGGUGAAAUGCGCAGAUAUCGGGAGGAACACCAAUGGCGAAAGCAGGAGCCUGGACCAUUACUGACACUCAGCUGCGAAAGCUAGGGGAGCAAACAGG